rnacentral:rRNA from 1 species
GGUCAAGCGAAUAAGCGCACACGGUGGAUGCCUAGGCGGUCAGAGGCGAUGAAGGACGUGGUAGCCUGCGAAAAGUGUCGGGGAGCUGGCAACAAGCUUUGAUCCGGCAAUAUCCGAAUGGGGAAACCCACUGCUUCGGCAGUAUCCUGCAGUGAAUUCAUAGCUGCUGGAAGCGAACCCGGUGAACUGAAAUAUCUAAGUAACCGGAGGAAAAGAAAUCAACCGAGAUUCCCUAAGUAGUGACGAGCGAACGGGGAACAGCCCUUAAGCUGGAAUGGCUUUAGAAAAACAAUCUGGAAAGAUUGGCCAUAGAAGGUGAUAGCCCUGUAUUUAAAAGGGCCACUCCAGUGAAGACGAGUAGGGCGGGGCACGUGAAACCCUGUCUGAAUAUGGGGGGACCAUCCUCCAAGGCUAAAUACUCCUGACCGACCGAUAGUGAACCAGUACCGUGAGGGAAAGGCGAAAAGAACCCCGGAGAGGGGAGUGAAAUAGAUCCUGAAACCGUGUGCGUACAAGCAGUAGGAGCUCGCAAGAGUGACUGCGUACCUUUUGUAUAAUGGGUCAGCGACUUACUGUUCGUGGCAAGCUUAACCGUAUAGGGGAGGCGAAGGGAAACCGAGUCUGAUAAGGGCGCAUAGUCGCGGGCAGUAGACCCGAAACCGGGUGAUCUAGUCAUGGCCAGGGUGAAGGUGCCGUAACAGGUACUGGAGGCCCGAACCCACGUCUGUUGCAAAAGACGGGGAUGAGCUGUGAUUAGGAGUGAAAAGCUAAUCGAACCCGGAGAUAGCUGGUUCUCCUCGAAAGCUAUUUAGGUAGCGCCUCGGACGAAUACUACUGGGGGUAGAGCACUGUUAUGGCUAGGGGGUCAUCGCGACUUACCAAACCAUUGCAAACUCCGAAUACCAGUACGUACUAUCCGGGAGACACACGGCGGGUGCUAACGUCCGUCGUGAAAAGGGAAACAACCCAGACCCACAGCUAAGGUCCCAAAUUCACUGCUAAGUGGAAAACGAUGUGGAAAGGCAUAGACAGCCAGGAGGUUGGCUUAGAAGCAGCCACCCUUUAAAGAAAGCGUAAUAGCUCACUGGUCGAGUCGGUCUGCGCGGAAGAUUUAACGGGGCUAAGCAGUGAACCGAAGCUUGGGGUGCAUAAAACUUCGGUUUUAUGCGCGGUAGAGGAGCGUUCCGUAAGCCUGCGAAGGUGGAUUGAGAAGUCCGCUGGAGGUAUCGGAAGUGCGAAUGCUGACAUGAGUAACGAUAAUGCGGGUGAAAAGCCCGCACGCCGAAAGCCCAAGGUUUCCUUGCGCAACGUUAAUCGACGCAGGGUUAGUCGGUCCCUAAGGCGAGGGCGAAAGCCGUAGUCGAUGGGAAGCAGGUUAAUAUUCCUGCACCUCGCGUGAGUGCGAUGGAGGGACGGAGAAGGUUAGGUGUACCGGGCGUUGGUUGUCCCGGGGAAAGGCGGUAGGUUUGGAUCUUUGGCAAAUCCGGGAUCCUUUAAGACCGAGCACCGAGACGAGCCUUUAUGGCGAAGUCACUGAUACCACGCUUCCAGGAAAAGCUCCUAAGCUUCAGCUCACGAAGACCGUACCGUAAACCGACACAGGUGGGUAGGAUGAGAAUUCUCAGGCGCUUGAGAGAACUCGGGUGAAGGAACUAGGCAACAUGGCACCGUAACUUCGGGAGAAGGUGCACCCUUUUUGGUGGCUCAUGCGAGCUAUAGCUGAAGAGGGUCGCAGAAACCAGGCCGCUGCGACUGUUUAUCAAAAACACAGCACUCUGCAAACACGAAAGUGGACGUAUAGGGUGUGACGCCUGCCCGGUGCUGGAAGGUUAAUUGAUGGGGUCAGCCGCAAGGCGAAGCUCUUGAUCGAAGCCCCAGUAAACGGCGGCCGUAACUAUAACGGUCCUAAGGUAGCGAAAUUCCUUGUCGGGUAAGUUCCGACCUGCACGAAUGGCGUAACGACAGCGGCGCUGUCUCCACCCGAGACUCAGUGAAAUUGAAAUCGCUGUGAAGAUGCAGCGUUCCCGUGGCAAGACGGAAAGACCCCGUGAACCUUUACUAUAGCUUUACACUGAACGUUGAGUUCGUCUGUGUAGGAUAGGUGGGAGGCUAUGAAACUGUGGCGCUAGCUGCAGUGGAGCCAUCCUUGAAAUACCACCCUGUCGUGCUUGACGUUCUAACCUAGGUCCGUUAUCCGGAUCAGGGACCGUGUAUGGUGGGUAGUUUGACUGGGGCGGUCUCCUCCUAAAGAGUAACGGAGGAGCACGAAGGUACGCUCAGCGCGGUCGGACAUCGCGCACUGUGUGCAAAGGCAUAAGCGUGCUUGACUGCAAGAUCGACGGAUCAAGCAGGUACGAAAGUAGGUCUUAGUGAUCCGGUGGUUCUGUAUGGAAGGGCCAUCGCUCAACGGAUAAAAGGUACUCCGGGGAUAACAGGCUGAUACCGCCCAAGAGUUCAUAUCGACGGCGGUGUUUGGCACCUCGAUGUCGGCUCAUCACAUCCUGGGGCUGUAGUCGGUCCCAAGGGUAUGGCUGUUCGCCAUUUAAAGUGGUACGCGAGCUGGGUUCAGAACGUCGUGAGACAGUUCGGUCCCUAUCUGCCAUGGGCGUUGGAAGUUUGAGAGGGGCUGCUCCUAGUACGAGAGGACCGGAGUGGACGAACCUCUGGUGUUCCGGUUGUCACGCCAGUGGCAUUGCCGGGUAGCUAUGUUCGGAAGCGAUAACCGCUGAAAGCAUCUAAGCGGGAAGCGCGCCUCAAGAUGAGACUUCCCGGGGCACAAGCCCCCUAAAGGAACCAUGUAGACUACGUGGUUGAUAGGUCAGGUGUGUAAGUACAGCAAUGUAUUGAGCUAACUGAUACUAAUGAUCCGUGCGGCUUGACCAU